GAACUGAAGAGUUUGAUCCUGGCUCAGAUUGAACGCUGGCGGCAUGCUUUACACAUGCAAGUCGAACGGCAGCACGGGGGCAACCCU
rnacentral:rRNA from 1 species